rnacentral:lncRNA from 10 species
AGGGAAAGAAUCCGCUUUGCAUGUCGGGAGUAGUAGUUUGUGUAAUAUCGCGAUCCUUCUCUGGUGUUCCUUGUUUUAGCUGACGACACUCGAGAGCGCCAAUUUUCCUAGAUUCGAUUUUGUGGUUUGGAACUGUGGUUUUGGAAUCCAGAGUAGUCGCCUCGUUCUAGUAUCCAAUUGCUCCAGCACCAACUGGUGAAAAGACCAUCAUUCUUCUACUCAGUUGCAUUUGAAGCUUUGUCAAAAACCAGACACAAUUGGAGACACAGGUUCUUCUAUCAAGGCCUUGACUGGAAUGGCAUAUUUUCAGAUAUGACCACAUUGCUUUGAGGAAAUGAGGCUGAUGUUGCAGAGCUGAUAAAACCCCCACAGAAAGGCCAGCCUACCUCUGGCAGUUGCAACUAUGAUUUCCCUAUGAGCACUACUUUUGCUGCAUCCUGUAAGUUUUGAACAGGGUCAUGCCCUUCCAACAUCCCAUCCUGAUGGCUGGAAUAUGGACAUGAGGGUGAACCACCUUGGACCAUGUGAAACAGGGUAACACCCCAAGGGCAGUAGAACAGGAAGACAACAAGCCUGGGUCUCAGAUAACUUUGUAGCUCAGGAUCCACAUAAAAGAUUGGACUGUUAUAUGAGAAAUCCUUUUAAAGAUCUAUAAGGUCUCUCUUGCAUACAACCAACUUAUGUGCUAACUAAUGUAUAAAGUGAGAGAAAACCUCAUCCUAUGACAUAUUCUCUGUACUAAUAAAGCCUUGAAGACAUUGACACUCUGGAUCAGGCUGUGCCUUGAGGUGAGAACCAUUGCUAUUUGCUAGGUUCCCCAAAAUUAACGAAUAAUUUGUCCCUAAAAGAAUAUUCUUAAAAUAUGGUGGGUCUGGCUGGGUGCGGUGGCUCACACCUGUAAUCCCAGCACUUUGGGAGGCCAAGGUGGAUGGAUUACGAGGUUAGGAGUUCGAGACCAGCCUGGCUAACACGGUGAAACCCCAUCUCUCCAUUGGAGAGACUCCCCACAGAGUAGGAGAAAAUGUCUCAGAUAUGGAGGAAUAAUAUGCAACAAUAUCUGUUCCCUGCCUGCCCUGUGCCUUGGACCAUGUUGAAUCCACAAGGGUAAAGUGAGAAACAGAAGCUGUUGGCAAAGGUCUAGGUGACAAAAUAGCCCAGAGUUAAGAAAAGGGCAUAAAACCUAUUGCCUAUAAGGUACUCCUCUAAAAUUUGGCAACUUCUCUGAAUGGUACCUUUUUGUUGUUAUUUUUCAUUUAAAAACUGUCUUGUAUCUAAUCAACUCUAUGGUUCUCAAAUAGAUUAUCAAUUAAUUCUCUUGGGAUUGCUAGUCACCUUUUCUAUAAUUUUGCCUCCUAAUACUUUCUGCUUUAUUAUAUUUGCUGUAACAAAUAUUCUUUUAAAAUUAGUUGUAAAGAUGAAACAGUGUUGAAGUUUCAAAUAGAUAUGGGAAGUAGAGAUUUGAUGAAAGGAUAUUUACAUUCUGGUGAUCAGAUUUUUGGAUUUCAAAGACCAGUCAAUUUUCUUUUAGUGUUUAGGGGACUGAUAUAAGGCUGAAACAUUUUUACAUUUCCAAUUUAUGAACAAUAAAACAAAUAGAAUAAUUUUUAUCUUACAGCUCAUUCAUUGUGUUUUAUAGUUUUUCACUUCAGCACAAAUUGGUAAAAAUAACAUCAGGCAAAGCACUGGUUCCUGGUUUAAUGAGCAGGGUUUAAAAAAUUGAUUAUAUUUUUUGACUACAUUUACUAUAGAUCCCUUUCAGGUAGAUGCACUUUUCCAACCAUUUGUUUUCCUAUUUAUGAAGAGACAAUGAACUUUUGCUACUAAGAUAUAUUUCUAGUAAUGAGCCAUGGUGCCAGUAGUUUGAAACAUCUGAACCACGUAUUUUGCUUUAAAUCCUAAUAUAUACAUAGCCUUCUUGGACAAUAAUCGUUAUCACUUACAUUUGUAUAACACGUAAGUUUCAAAGCUUUCAUAUACACUAGUGCACUUUAUCCUUUGAAUAGUUUACAUUUCGUUACUCAUUCUUGCAUUACUCAUCAUGAGGAAAUUAGAAUUUCAGAAAUGUCAACUUUGCCUUCAUUCUGAGGUACUAAUUUUUCACAUUUC